rnacentral:rRNA from 2 species
UCGGAGAGUUUGAUCCUGGCUCAGGAUGAACGCUGGCGGCGUGCCUAAUACAUGCAAGUCGAGCGAACUGAUUAGAAGCUUGCUUCUAUGACGUUAGCGGCGGACGGGUGAGUAACACGUGGGCAACCUGCCUGUAAGACUGGGAUAACUUCGGGAAACCGAAGCUAAUACCGGAUAGGAUCUUCUCCUUCAUGGGAGAUGAUUGAAAGAUGGUUUCGGCUAUCACUUACAGAUGGGCCCGCGGUGCAUUAGCUAGUUGGUGAGGUAACGGCUCACCAAGGCAACGAUGCAUAGCCGACCUGAGAGGGUGAUCGGCCACACUGGGACUGAGACACGGCCCAGACUCCUACGGGAGGCAGCAGUAGGGAAUCUUCCGCAAUGGACGAAAGUCUGACGGAGCAACGCCGCGUGAGUGAUGAAGGCUUUCGGGUCGUAAAACUCUGUUGUUAGGGAAGAACAAGUACAAGAGUAACUGCUUGUACCUUGACGGUACCUAACC